rnacentral:rRNA from 1 species
AUUGAACGCUGGCGGCAUGCUUUACACAUGCAAGUCGAACGGUAACAGGGUGCUUGCACCGCUGACGAGUGGCGAACGGGUGAGUAAUGCGUCGGAACGUGCCGAGUAGUGGGGGAUAACGCAGCGAAAGUUGUGCUAAUACCGCAUACGUACUGAGGUAGAAAGUGGGGGACCUUCGGGCCUCACGCUAUUCGAGCGGCCGACGUCUGAUUAGCUAGUAGGUGAGGUAAAGGCUCGCCUAGGCGACGAUCAGUAGCGGGUCUGAGAGGAUGAUCCGCCAAACUGGGACUGAGACACGGCCCAGAUUCCUACGGGGGGCAGCAGUGGGGAAUUUUGGACAAUGGGCGAAAGCCUGAUCCAGCCAUGCCGCGUGUCUGAAGAAGGCCUUCGGGUUGUAAAGGACUUUUGUCAGGGAGGAAAUCCCUAGUGCUAAUAACACUGGGGGAUGACAGUACCUGAAGAAUAAGCACCGGCUAACUACGUGCCAGCCGCCGCCGUAA